GUAGCUCAGUUGGUUAGAGCGCUGGCCUGUCAAGCCAGAGGUCGCGGGUUCGAGCCCCGUC
rnacentral:tRNA from 1 species